CUUCAGCUAAAUUUAGGCUACUGACAGAAGAGGGAAAACACAACAGCUUUGUACCAUCCUUGACAUUUUACCGGGAGUUUGUUCAGCAGUACACCAUGUGCAGUGGGGCCUCGGCACGCAGGUAGCCCAGCUCCCUCAGGCAGCCGUCGUGGAACAUCCGAGUGCAGAUCCUGCAUGGGUACAGGUCGUCGGCCGUCCACACCUCACACACUUCACACAUCUCAUCGCUCGGUGGCUGAGUGCUACGGCCCCAGCUUCAGGGCGGUAGACACAUCACAGAAAAGACCUUGUCAAAUUUCCUCAGUCACAGCUUAUCUUAUAAUAUUGGCACACCGGUGUGAUCUGAUGACUCUAUUUACAUCAACAAGCUUCCUGCAUCAUCGAUAGUCCCAGUCAAAAUUAGAUCAGCAGGGACUUUAAGUGGUAAACUCCACCUCUACAGGCUGGUCAUCAUCGGCUUCCCUUUUGGGACGCACGAAAGCAGGCGGCGUGAGCUGAUGGCUCUUGUCAAGAUCUUCAGGCUCUACUCCUUUCCCGUCCCG